rnacentral:rRNA from 1 species
UACAGAGACCUCAAGCGUUAUCCGGAAUCAUUGGGCGUAAAGCGUACCGAUAGGUGGUCAUGGUAGUUUUGGGUAAAAGCCAGAAGCUCAACUUCUGCGUUUGCUCAAAAUACUCCACGACUAGAGGGGCAAAGAGGUGCUUGGAACGAAUGGUGUAGUAGUGAAAUGCGUUGAUAUCAUUCGGAACACCGAAAGCGAAGGCAGAGCACUGGGUGCCACCUGACACUGCUAGGACGAAAGCGUGGGGAGCGAAUGGG